UACGUAGGGAGCAAGCGUUGUCCGGAUUUAUUGGGCGUAAAGAGCUCGUAGGCGGUUUGUCGCGUCUGCCGUGAAAGUCCGGGGCUCAACUCCGGAUCUGCGGUGGGUACGGGCAGACUAGAGUGAUGUAGGGGAGACUGGAAUUCCUGGUGUAGCGGUGAAAUGCGCAGAUAUCAGGAGGAACACCGGUGGCGAAGGCGGGUCUCUGGGCAGUAACUGACGCUGAGGAGCGAAAGCGUGGGGAGCGAACAGG
rnacentral:rRNA from 1 species